GGCGAACCGGCCACCGGAAGCAGCCUUGCUCGGACUGAAAAGCGGAAGGUCGCCGGUUCGACCCCGGCCCCAGCCACCA
rnacentral:tRNA from 1 species